UCCGGCCGCAGCCCGCCGACCCCAGCGGCCUCCACCGCCACCGCAGCCGCCGCCGCCUCCGCCAUCUUCGCCCGCGGCAGCGUGACGCUGGGCGCCGCGGCGGCCGCUGCGGGCGUCGCCGCCGUCUGCCCGCUCUCACCGCCACAGAGGGCGAGAGCCGCCACACAGGGACCCGACGCAGUGUAGGUGAAGCCGCCAGCCAGCCAGCUGCUGCUGUUGCUGCUGCCGCCCGUGGCUGCCACACCGCUCGCUGCCCACAGAUCACACCAGAUCACGCAGGGGGCCGGCUGGUGUCAGCGGUGUGUCACCAGCGGGAUGCAUCCUUCGGGCUCUAACUGAAAUGAAGACUCCAGAGUUCUUCCGUGACGUGUACGACAUUUCAAGUGCAGUUACAAAAAAUUACAUUAUCAAGACAAAAUCCUUCAACACUGAGGAUGGACCCAAGGAAAUACAAGAACUAUUUUCUACCUACGCAGAUUAGCUGUGCCUAUCGUAGCGGAGUAUAUUCUACAUAUCUGGCUUAGGAUGUACUAAUCUCGUAAGUCAGAGGCAUUACAUUCGGAACCUGCAGAAGAUCAAUAUAUUGUUGAAUUUUUCUCCGUCGACAGUGGACAUUUGUUGAUGGUUGCAUCAUUAGGGAAUGCUUAUUUUUAUGCAGUUUGGUAAUCCACAGAGACAUCAAGAUACACAAUCGUUGUUGAAUCCAUUGGCCUACAAAUGUGCUGAUGAAAAUGAGAAGUGUGAAAGAAACGAAGCAUUCCGUAAAAGUUCAAACACUGGAACCUUAACAAGCAGGGACACUUAAAUUUUCCAAACUUGCUACAAGAGACGCUGUUUCUACUUUUCAGCUCUUUUACUUUGUAUCUGACAUAAAAACGCUGAUUUUAGAGUAUCUGAUGCUAGUGAAAAGCACUGGUCUGUUGUUUGUAAGAUAUCAGUGUAUUUUCAAUAAAAUACAGUUUUUA